rnacentral:rRNA from 1 species
GACGAACGCUGGCGGCGUGCUUAACACAUGCAAGUCGAACGAUGAAGCCGGAGCUUGCUCUGGUGAAUUAGUGGCGAACGGGUGAGUAACACGUGAGUAACCUGCCCUUGACUCUGGGAUAACUGCGGGAAACUGUAGCUAAUACCGGAUACGACCCUCGGAGGCAUCUCCUGGGGGUGGAAAGAAUUUCGGUCAAGGAUGGACUCGCGGCCUAUCAGCUAGUUGGUGAGGUAAGGGCUCACCAAGGCGACGACGGGUAGCCGGCCUGAGAGGGUGACCGGCCACACUGGGACUGAGACACGGCCCAGACUCCUACGGGAGGCAGCAGUGAGGAAUAUUGCACAAUGGGCGCAAGCCUGAUGCAGCAACGCCGCGUGAGGGAUGACGGCCUUCGGGUUGUAAACCUCUUUUAGCAGGGAAGAAGCGAAAGUGACGGUACCUGCAGAAAAAGCACCGGCUAACUACGUGCCAGCCGCCGCUGUAA